CUUAUGCAUGCAGUUGAGCGAAGCUUUUCAGUAGUUUACUACAGAAAAUGACUGAGCGGCGAACGGGCGAGUAACGCGUGAGCAAUCUACCUUAGUUACUGGGAUAGCCCGAGGAAACUCGGAUUAAUACCGGAUAUUCUUAUUUUUUCACAUGAAGUUUUAAGGAAAGGUCAGCCGAACUAAGAUGAGCUCGCGUUCUAUCAGCUAGUUGGUGGGGUAAAAGCCUACCAAGGCUACGACGGAUAGCUGGUCUGAGAGGACGAUCAGCCACACUGGGACUGAGACACGGCCCAGACUCCUACGGGAGGCUGCAGCAGGGAAUAUUGCGCAAUGAGCGAAAGCUUGACGCAGCGACACCGCGUGUGGGAUGACGGUUCUAGGAUUGUAAACCACUUUCAGGAGGGAAGAAAAUGACGGUACCUCCACAAGAAGACCCGGCCAACUACGUGCCAGCAGCCGCGGUAAUACGUAGGGGUCAAGCGUUGUCCGGAUUUAUUGGGCGUAAAGAGCUCGUAGGCGGUUCAACAAGUCGGUCGUAAAAGUUUAGGGCUCAACCCUAAAAUGUCGAUCGAUACUGUUGUGACUAGGAUACGGUAGAGGUGAAUGGAAUUCCGAGUGUAGCGGUGAAAUGCGUAGAUAUUCGGAGGAACACCAAUUGCGAAGGCAGUUCACUGGACCGUGAUCGACGCUGAGGAGCGAAAGCUAGGGGAGCAAACAGGAUUAGAUACCCUGGUAGUCCUAGCUGUAAACGAUGGAUACUAGAUGUAGGAACUGGAUUGACGGUUUCUGUAUCGUAGCUAACGCGUUAAGUAUCCCGCCUGGGGAGUACGGUCGCAAGACUAAAACUCAAAGGAAUUGACGGGACCCCGCACAAGCGGCGGAGCAUGCGGCUUAAUUCGAUGAUACCCGUAGAACCUUACCUGGACUUGACAUAUAGGGAAAAGCUAAAGAAAUUUAGUG
rnacentral:rRNA from 1 species